UUUUUUUUUUCGUAGGACAUAGACUAAACACUUGAAAAACAAAACAAAUAUUUAAAAAAACAUGUGUAAUGAACAAGUUAUGUUAUAAAUGCUUGGCUCUUCCGCAAUUACACAACACAAUUAAUAGAACAGUGAAGUAGACGUUAAAUCUAUUUAAUUUAAUUGUCAUUAGAUUAUCCAACAAUUAUUUUUGUCUUGAAUUAAGCAAUCUACAAUAUGAUUUAUUAGGAUUUUAGCUAUACAGUAUUUACGACAUGUAAAAUGGAGUGCACAGCUUGUCAAUAACAUUGACAAUAAAUCGUAACAUACAGUCAGCCUGUUUAACACAAUUCCAACCAAAAUGACAAAUGGUAUUAAAUGCUACACAAUGUAAUCAAUUAUUUACAAUAUGUUCUACAAUGAAAAAAAAUAUACAUAAAUAGUCAACAUUUUUAGCUUCGAUGCAAAGCAGAGAAGCUUUUUAAUUCAAAAUCAAAAUCAUUAGUGAUUAUAUUAUUUUACUGUCAAGGUUCUUUAUGUUAUGUCGCCGUAAAAAUAGUUUCAUGAACUCUCAAAUAUAUGCGUAUAAUAUUAAAUUGAUCUAGACUUGAAGCAUUCAGAUCAAAUGAUUUUAUGAAACUAAAAUAUACGCCUAUUGUUAAAAUGUAAAUAAUGAAAUUUUAAAAGGAUAGUUUUUAUUUUGUGUUCAUAUAAAAUAAUAGUUAUUUUAAGAACUUUUUCAAUUUCUGAAUAUGAAAAAAAAAAAUUCCAAUUAUUCAACUUCUUAACGUAACUGUAUAUUUCUAAAUAUAUUUUUAUAUGGAAUGUUUUUGAUAUAAUCAUUUUAUUGUUUAAUAAAAAAUGGAGUAUUUAUGUACUCGAAGAAAUACGUUAUUUCCGUUAGUUGCCUGAAAGUAGUAUACAAAUACAACUGUAUGAUAUAAGACGACACAACGACAGAAAAUAUUAUAAUUGAAUCGAAUAAAUAAAUGACAAUAAUAAAUGAGUUCGGUGUAAACAACGAAAAUUAUCAUAAAACUAUGGUAAACAUAUCAAUCUGAAGUAGUAAUGUAAAUGAAAACGAAUUGGUCCAAUAGUUAAAAUCAUUUCUGUGUAAGCUUCUGAUAAUCAGUAUUACAAGAAUUUCCAAAAACUACUUAAAUUAAAUUUAUUUGUGCAGUAUAAAAAUAGAAAUGCACCUAUUAUACAUGUUUUAUGAUUCUUAUAAAAUUACAAAAGUCAAAUUAUCGUUUAGAAAUUAGAAUCAACGUAACUGAUUCUAGUUAAAAAUACACAUUGAUUUAUACCAACCUCUUCAGGAUAAAACGGAGCUUGUAAAGAUAUACAAAUGGCACAGCAAAAAUGUACAGAGCCUACCACAGCCAAAAUCAUCCAUUCUGAAGCUGAAAACUUCAUGUUGCUGCUCGUUUGAUGUUUUUAUUAAUGUUUUACAACCGUUUGUUUGGUACUGGCUAGUGAUAGUUGAAAACCAAUUCAGCAGGACAAGAAAUAUUUCUUAGAUGUAUUAUAUUUUCAUACACUUAUUAAUUUAAUACUGAAAAACAAUGUUUCAAUUUUAACAAAAAAUAAAAAAGAAAAAAAAACAAAAAAACCCCGAAGUCACUAUCGAUGAGGUAACAAAAGUAAUGUUCGCCGAACUUUGGCCAAACUGAGCAUUCCAAACGGCGCCUACAACGGUCUACAACUGACACACGGUCAGAUCGCGUACAAGGCACUGGCGUGUGUGUGUAAUAACUAUAAUUUAUUAUUAGAUAGUAAUUGAGCGUACGUAUAAAAAGAGAAAAAGAAUAUGCGGUGGUACCUACUGAUAACGGACAACCGUCUGUUAUGAGACGGCGAGCGACGUUGACGAGAGUACACUUGCCGUUAUCAGUAGUUAUCGCCCCACGGCCGUCGGCCACUGCUUGAUCGGAUGACCAUCUCAUCAACCGUUUUUUAUAUACGCCAACGAUGGCUACACGCGAUUUGACUCUGUUCAAGGUUCGAGUAGUAUAAAGUUUCGCAAUGGGAAAUCACAUUACCCGGUUCAGUGGAUAGACAUAUUUUUAACUAGAUUGAUAAUUAUUGAUUCACACUAAUAAAAUGUUACAGUAUAUUUACUCAUUUGGCCGUUUCUAACCUUCUUUUUAUCAAGAUCCUUCAUCGAAUAGUGUAAAAUGAUUUUUGUAGUAAUAUGUUUAAUUUAAAGAAACUUAUACAAAAAUAAUGAGUAUCAACAAAUUUCACUUUUUCUCCGAGCAUUUAUUCUAUGUAAUGGAUCGUGUAAAAAAAAAAUUGGAAAACGUUCUUUAAAAAUGAGUUUUCAAUAUCAUAAUCACGGUAGGGAAACAACUACCCAGGGAAGAGAGGAAUAGUUGUUUAAGUCAAACAUUUUACUGACAUCUAUCAAAACAUACGUGUCUUAGUGCCUUUAAAUAGAACUGUUUAAAGUCGUUUACCUUCAGUAAAUAACUAUUUACAAUCUUGUUUACACAAUAGAAAUUACAAUAAAAAAAUUAUUGUACGAAACAAGUACCUUUUUAUAAUGGCAGCAAUGAACUUGAAAUUUGUGAAAAAAUAUUAAAGUGUCACUUCUUUAAACAAUUAUAUUAUACACGUGUUUAAGACUAUGGGAAAUUUAAUAAUAACAUCAAUAUCUUUUCCAACGCUAAUUAAUAAUUACAUAAACACAAAAGCCACAGUGCACGUAUAUUAAUGUUUUGGACCUUAACUUAAAUUAAGAUUUGUAUCCAAAUGUGUAUUUUUUUAAGAUUUAGUAUUUAUAAAAUGUAAACAUUAUUGUACUAUAGUAAUAAUACU